GACGAACGCUGGCGGCGUGCUUAACACAUGCAAGUCGAGCGGUAAGGCCCUUCGGGGGUACACGAGCGGCGAACGGGUGAGUAACACGUGGGUGACCUGCCCUCAGCUCUGGGAUAAGCCUGGGAAACCGGGUCUAAUACUGGAUAUGACUCCAUGACGCAUGUUGUGGGGUGGAAAGCCUUGUGCGGCUGAGGAUGGGCCCGCGGCCUAUCAGCUUGUUGGUGGGGUGANGGCCUACCAAGGCGACGACGGGUAGCCGGCCUGAGAGGGCGACCGGCCACACUGGGACUGAGACACGGCCCAGACUCCUACGGGAGGCAGCAGUGGGGAAUCUUGCGCAAUGGGCGAAAGCCUGACGCAGCGACGCCGCGUGAGGGAUGACGGCCU
rnacentral:rRNA from 1 species